GAAAAUGGAGAACUGGAUCUUGAUAUCAAUGGAUUAAGAGCAAAAGUCAUCACUCUCUUUAAUCUUGUGCCUGAUGCUGAUCUUACACUGACGUAUAUUGAUGAAGAUGGUGACGUGGUAACACUUGUUGAUGAUGAAGAUCUGCAUGAUGUGAUGAGACAGCGCUUGAAGUUCUUGAGGAUUACCGUGCUGCUAAAUAUUGAAAAGGAUGGUAGGUCUCACACUCGGUCAAGUGGAAGUUCUACUCCCAUGAGAUCACCUUUUAACCUGCGCCCAUUUCAAGAUGGCAAUGCUGGUGUUGCUCCCAUGAGAUCACCUUUUGACCUGCGCCCAUUUCAAGAUGGCAAUGCUGGUGUUGCUCCCAUGAGACCACCUUUUGACCUGCGCCCAUUUCAAGAUGGCAAUGCUGGUGUUGCUGAAUUUAUUAAAUCAGUACCAGAGCCACUACUUGAAGCAUUUUCGAAACUAUCAACAGAUUUUACUUCUAAAGCUGCAUCCUCUGCUCCAGUGCUUUCUGAGGUUCUUACCUGCCUCUCAAAGAUGGGAGAAUCCUACCUCAAUUCUGUUUCUCCAUCUGAGGUUGGUGCAGAUUCAAGCACACAUAAUAGGUCAUCUGACAACUCCGUCGAUCCUUUAGUGACUGAAAAUACAAAAGCUCCGCAAGCUGACAGCAAACAAGAACUGCUGCCAACUGCUGAACUCAAAGAUUCAAAUUCUAAACUUAAUGAAGUGGGAACAACUGGACCCGUGUCUAGAGGUGUGGGGACCUCAAUUACUCCAGCUGCAACAUCCAUGGAUCUUAACUUCCCUAGUUUUCCAGAUAUAUCUGAAAUCCCUAGUUUUUUUCCAGAUAUAUCUAAAAUCCCCAUUUUUCCAGUUAUAACUGAAUCUGGAGCUGUGACUAUUACAGCAGGUAUCGCAUCAAAUGUUCCUGCUACUGACAACAAGGAGGCUAAUGUGGAAAGCAAUGUUGCACCAGUUGCAUCCAAUGAUCCCUCUGUGGACAAGAGGAAGGAGACUAAAAAGGAAAGCAAGUAUGCACCCAUUGCAUGUUCUGAUUGUGCCAAUGAUCCCUCUGUGGACAAGAGGAAGGAGACUAAGAAGGAAAGCAAGUAUCCACCCGUUGCAUGUUCUGAUUGUGCUUCUGAUGGAAGGAAAGGAACUAAGAAGGGAAGCGUUGAUCAUUAUGGUGAGAAGUUGGCUGAUUGUGUUGCAUCCACGUGGAAUGCAGGAUAUCCCAGACCCUAUAAUCCAGA
rnacentral:lncRNA from 1 species